rnacentral:rRNA from 1 species
CCUACGGGAGGCAGCAGUGGGGGAUAUUGCACAAUGGGGGGAACCCUGAUGCAGCGACGCCGCGUGGGUGAAGAAGCGCCUCGGCGCGUACAGCCCUGUCAGCAGGGAAGAAAAUGACGGUAACUGAAGAAGAAGCCCCGGCUAACUACGUGCCAGCAGCCGCGGAAAUACGUAGGGGGCAAGCGUUAUCCGGAUUUACUGGGUGUAAAGGGGGCGCAGACGGCGAUGCAAGCCAGGAGUGAAAGCGCGGGGCCCAACCCCGGGACUGCGUUUGGAACUGCGUGGCUGGAGUGCAGGAGGGGCAGGCGGAAUUCCUGGUGUAGCGGUGAAAUGCGUAGAUAUCAGGAGGAACACCGGUGGCGAAGGCGGCCUGCUGGACUGCAACUGACGUUGAGGCCCGAAAGCGUGGGGAGCAAACAGGAUUAGAUACCCUAGUAGUC